ACCGAGAGCGAGUUUUCAUU
rnacentral:snRNA from 1 species